GUACCCCCUCUGGAGGGCGUGCCCCUGUA
rnacentral:sRNA from 1 species